ACUCGGCCGUGAAACCCUUCUGCGCCAAUGGUACUAUCGCUCAAGCGAUGGAAGAGUAGGUCGCCGCCAGGC
rnacentral:rRNA from 1 species